AUUGAACGCUGGCGGCAGGCCUAACACAUGCAAGUCGAACGGUAACAGAAAGCAGCUUGCUGCUUUGCUGACGAGUGGCGGACGGGUGAGUAAUGUCUGGGAAACUGCCUGAUGGAGGGGGAUAACUACUGGAAACGGUAGCUAAUACCGCAUAACGUCGCAAGACCAAAGAGGGGGACCUUCGGGCCUCUUGCCAUCGGAUGUGCCCAGAUGGGAUUAGCUAGUAGGUGGGGUAAAGGCUCACCUAGGCGACGAUCCCUAGCUGGUCUGAGAGGAUGACCAGCCACACUGGAACUGAGACACGGUCCAGACUCCUACGGGAGGCAGCAGUGGGGAAUAUUGCACAAUGGGCGCAGGCCUGAUGCAGCCAUGCCGCGUGUAUGAAGAAGGCCUUCGGGUUGUAAAGUACUUUCAGCGGGGAGGAAGGGAGUAAAGUUAAUACCUUUGCUCAUUGACGUUACCCGCAGAAGAAGCACCGGCUAACUCCGUG
rnacentral:rRNA from 1 species